rnacentral:lncRNA from 1 species
GGCAGGCAGGCAGGGGAAAUCGAUGUGACACGCCUUUUGCUCCAAAGCGCAUGACAAACCACUCUUUUUUUUUUUGGAAGUUUUAUAGGGGGGAAGAAAGAAACAUGGAGUAGUGCCUCCUGAACUACCAGGGUGGCAGUCCACAUCCUGCUGAUAAACGCGUGCUGAUCCUCAGGGAUUUCUAGAUUAUGUUUAGGGAUCAAGGUUUUUCCGAUGAGGAUCGGAGAAGUUUGCAUAUACUAUUAGAUAUGUUCAGACAGCAAUUGCAUUAUGAGAUUGCUCAUGCAAAUUAUGGAUUAUGAUGGCCUCGUAAUCCGCUUUGCGGCUGAUCAGUGGUGUUACCACGUGGAGAACGAAAAGGAGCCACAAAGAUUAGUUGAGAUGUGGUUUGAUCCUUAAACUUUGGCUUUCACUCAUAUCUCAUGGC